rfam:Rattus norvegicus chromosome 5, whole genome shotgun sequence.
GGGGAUUUAGCUCAGUGGUAGAGCGCCUGCCUAUCAAGCACAACGCCCUGGGUUCAGUCCCCAGCUCCG